GACGAACGCUGGCGGCGUGCCUAACACAUGCAAGUCGAGCGAAGAAGCUCCUUCGGGAGUGGAUUAGCGGCGGAUGGGUGAGUAACGCGUGAACAAUCUGCCCCGUACAAAGGAAUAGCCUCGGGAAACCGGGAUUAAAACCCUAUGAUGCUUAAGUAUCGCAUGGUACCUAAGUCAAAUCGUUAGAGGUAUGGGAUGAGUUCGCGUCUGAUUAGCUAGUUGGUAAGGUAAAGGCUUACCAAGGCAACGAUCAGUAGCCGGCCUGAGAGGGUGACCGGCCACACUGGAACUGAGACACGGUCCAG
rnacentral:rRNA from 1 species